rnacentral:misc_RNA from 1 species
AGGCGUGGCUAAAACCACUACUUUUAACAUUGCAAUUUUCAAAACCCAUGGAAAGAGCUAAUCACUAAAAUCUCCUUUCUGUUGGAUUUUUUGGUUUCAUGCUUGAGUAAGGGCCUUAUGUGUGAAGAUUGUCGUGUGGAUUUCUCGGUAUUGAGCAUUGCAUAUAAUCUUAUUUUAGGGCUAGUCCUUGUAUGAGGUUUGAUCAUCGUAGAGGGCAUGUGAGAUGAGUUAACCCUCCUUUUUUUCCCCUCCUGAUCU